rnacentral:rRNA from 1 species
UACGAAGGGUGCAAACGUUGCUCGGAAUUAUUGGGCGUAAAGAGCUCGUAGGCGGUUCGUCGCGUCGGCUGUGAAAUCCCGAGGCUCAACCUCGGGUCUGCAGUCGAUACGGGCGGACUGGAGUACUGCAGGGGAGACUGGAAUUCCUGGUGUAGCGGUGAAAUGCGCAGAUAUCAGGAGGAACACCGGUGGCGAAGGCGGGUCUCUGGGCAGUUUCUGACACUGAUGCGCGACAGCGUGGGGAGCAAACAGG